rnacentral:rRNA from 1 species
CUGGCGGCAUGCCUUACACAUGCAAGUCGAACGGUAACGCGGGGCAACCUGGCGACGAGUGGCGAACGGGUGAGUAACGCAUCGGAACGUGCCCAGUAGUGGGGGAUAGCCCGGCGAAAGCCGGAUUAAUACCGCAUACGACCUACGGGUGAAAGAGGGGGAUCGCAAGACCUCUCGCUAUUGGAGCGGCCGAUGUCAGAUUAGGUUGUUGGUGGGGUAAAGGCCUACCAAGCCGACGAUCUGUAGCUGGUCUGAGAGGACGACCAGCCACACUGGGACUGAGACACGGCCCAGACUCCUACGGGAGGCAGCAGUGGGGAAUUUUGGACAAUGGGCGCAAGCCUGAUCCAGCCAUGCCGCGUGCGGGAAGAAGGCCUUCGGGUUGUAACCGCUUUUGUCAGGGAAGAAACGCUCCGAAUUAAUACCUCGGGGUAAUGACGGUACCUGAAGAAUAAGCACCGGCUAACUACGUGCCAGCAGCCGCGGUAAUACGUAGGGUGCAAGCGUUAAUCGGAAUUACUGGGCGCAAAGCGUGCGCAGGCGGUUGUGCAAGACAGAUGUGAAAUCCCCGGGCUCAACCUGGGAACUGCAUUUGGGACUGCACAGCUAGAGUACGGUAGAGGGGGAUGGAAUUCCGCGUGUAGCAGUGAAAUGCGUAGAUAUGCGGAGGAACACCGAUGGCGAAGGCAAUCCCCUGGACCUGUACUGACGCUCAUGCACGAAAGCGUGGGGAGCAAACAGGAUUAGAUACCCAGGUAGUCCACGCCCUAAACGAUGUCAACUGGUUGUUGGACGGCUUGCUGUUCAGUAACGAAGCUAACGCGUGAAGUUGACCGCCUGGGGAGUACGGCCGCAAGAUUGAAACUCAAAGGAAUUGACGGGGACCCGCACAAGCGGUGGAUGAUGUGGUUUAAUUCGAUGCAACGCGAAAAACCUUACCUACCCUUGACAUGUCUGGAAUCCUGAAGAGAUUUAGGAGUGCUCGAAAGAGAACCAGAACACAGGUGCUGCAUGGCCGUCGUCAGCUCGUGUCGUGAGAUGUUGGGUUAAGUCCCGCAACGAGCGCAACCCUUGUCAUUAGUUGCUACGAAAGGGCACUCUAAUGAGACUGCCGGUGACAAACCGGAGGGAGGUGGGGAUGACGUCAGGUCCUCAUGGCCCUUAUGGGUAGGGCUACACACGUCAUACAAUGGCCGGUACAGAGGGCUGCCAACCCGCGAGGGGGAGCUAAUCCCAGAAAACCGGUCGUAGUCCGGAUCGCAGUCUGCAACUCGACUGCGUGAAGUCGGAAUCGCUAGUAAUCGCGGAUCAGCUUGCCGCGGUGAAUACGUUCCCGGGUCUUGUACACACCGCCCGUCACACCAUGGGAGCGGGUUCUGCCAGAAGUAGUUAGCCUAACCGCAAGGAGGGCGAUUACCACGGCAGGGUUCGUGACUGGGGUGAAGUCGUAACAAGGUA